rnacentral:lncRNA from 1 species
UGACAGAUGAGCAACCUGUGAUUCCUACUUUUCAGGGAUACUGACUACAGUGAUUGGUGCGGGGAGCAUUUCUUCCUACCACAAACUACUCUGCUAACCUCAGUCCAGGAUGUCCCCUCUAAUAGAGAUGCUCACUGUAGCACAGAAAGAAGAGUGAUGACUAAAAUCAUAUAACAUUUGAGGAGCAGGCUAAGAACCCUCUGGCUGCCCUAAAAAGUUAAAAGAAAGGGACUGUGCACCAAUGUGUUUAAAACUGACCAGAAUUCUCAAGACUGCUGGU